rnacentral:sRNA from 1 species
UUCUGAAGUAUGGAUUCCGAUUUGAGAAA